rnacentral:lncRNA from 1 species
GCCUCUGCACUAAAGGUAUUUGAUAGGGCUUAUGUCUGAUGGUGACUUUGUUACCAGGCUAAACCCGAGUCCAUUCACCUGCACCCAGUAAAGCCAAUCUACUGUUAGCAUCUAUUGCAGGACACCAAGCAAGGAGAACAGGCAACUCCUGCUCAAAAGACCCAAACUCCCGGAUGGCUUUCAGGGAAAGAGGUGCAUGGCUCAUGAUCUGCUUGUGCCCAGUUCUCAGAUUGGCUGGCAUCAAGGUGAAGUUUCAAGCAUCAUCAACCUUCUGGUUUCAACUAGUCUCUGUUAUUAUGGAAAUGCAGCUUCUACAGGUCAUAAAGGUGUAAAGAUGGGGCACGCUGGCAGGGAUGGAUCCCUGGCCGGAGAGUCCGAAGCCCCUUCCACCCCUGCAGCUCUUCUCCAAAGGGAACACUCUGUUCCUUUCCUUGGGUGAACCAGACUCAGGCCCCUGCUGGUUCUUGAGUCAGCGGGGAGGCUGACCCAGCAGCCGCCUCCUGGCCAGGUCAGUUCAGUGUCUGGGCUCUCUCUGGGCCCUGUCGUCCUUUGCUGAAAGCACCAGCUUCUUCAGCGAUGCUGAAUUCUCAUGAAAUGUUAGAGCCUCGUUGCUUUUGUUGCUUUUGUUUGCCUCAUUGCUUUUGUUUUGAUGUGUCUUAAAAUAAUUAGGCUUUUAUUCUCACAUUAUUUCCAUUCACCCCUCCCGGCUAAUGAGGCAUCUAACUCACCACACCAGGGCAGGGCGUGCUACUAUGGUAUCCAGUAAACAGUCGCUAAACAAAGCCAAAAGGCCUGCUCAGAUCAAAUUCCCUUUUGUACUUGCUCUUACAUCUGUCCUGAGCUAGGCAGUUGCUGUCAAAAAAAUGAAAUCCACUGCACCUCUAUGAGGAGUUUAAGAAAAGCAGCCGUUUGGACUUUUUCCAACAACUUCCUUGCAACAGCUUCAUUAUCCAUUUGCUAGUUAGCAAGUUGGUCUAGGAAGAAGUCUUCUUUUACUCUUGGAAAGUAUGCACUUGGAAAUGCCCAGUAAAAACCAGUAUGUGCUGAACGCCUGCUCCCUGCCAGAUUCUGAGGGAUGGGACAGCAUCGUACAGUCAGGCUGGGAACAUGGGGGCCGAGGAGAACCAACCAAGAGGCCUGGUGAGCGAUCGGCUGCCUGAGACCAGCAGAGCAUGUCACCCAGCAGUUGAGGUCAGGCAGGGUCCCUGGGAGGAAGGGACAUACUUCCCUGUCUGAGGGCGACUACCUCCCUGUCACCCAGUCCUUGCACGUGGAGCCCAAACCCACUCUAGGCAAAGGUGGCUAAGCAGCUGGUCUCCUGUCCAGCCCCCUGCGUUUCCCCACAUGUCCCUUCAGACACUGCUGUCAAUUCCCAGUGUAUUUCACAACUUAGCAGUUCGAUGCCUUGGUUAUACUCUUAAUUCCUUUUCUACACAGAAUCUCAAUACUCCUUAUACUAAUAACCCUGGGAGGAAGGAAUACUUCUUCUUCCCAAGUAACAACAGGAAAAGUCAGAGAGGUUAAGGAAUUUGCCUAAGUCACCCAGCAAGGGGUGAAGCCAGGGUUCAGACUCUCAUGGGUCCCGUCCUCCAUCUGAUGGACCCUGGCCUUCAGAGCUGUAAUUUGCAAUUUUGGCGCCCAGGGCUAAUAGCACAAAAGCUCAGCAAAUUAUAUUGUGAUUUAUUAUGUGCCUCAAAGAACAACCAGCAGCUUCCUGUUUUAGCUGUUCUUGCUUAGGACAGUUUCUAACUGAAGAAAUUCAUGUGCUGUCAACAUGUAAAUGUCAUCCUUUUGUUUGUUUCAACAUCUGUGCCAGGCCAGAGCCUCCCUAUGGGCCUCACAUGGACUGUGCUGAGUCUGGUCCCUGGAGUUCUGCAACCUCACUGCAAACACAAAACACAGAAGAGCUAGCACAGACCAUCCCAAGUUGCUUAAAUGUCCCAUGUCCAUGCUAGACCAGAAAAGUUCCGUGUGAUCAGAAGGAGAAGUGCCCUGUUGUGGCCUAAAGAGGUUGGGGAGGCUGAAAGGAGGCGACCAGAUUGAUGUAUGGACAGGAUUUAGGGCCGGAGGGGAAUUGAAAGCGAGAAAUGGAAGCAUACAAUUGAGGCUGGGACGGGAGAGGACAUUGACAAGAGGCAGUAUGAAAAGUUGGAAAAGCACGUUGGAGCCAAACUGGUCAGAAAUUUCACUACCAGGAUGAGGAGCCGAGGGUGGAAGCUGGGAGAAGAGGCUGGAAGUGAUGCCCCAAGAGAGAGCAUGAAAACCUGUCCUAGAGUGGGAGGGCAGGGGAGAAAAGCCAGAAGCAUGCUGAAGGAAGCGUGGGCCCCUGUCCCAGGCACCCCGAAUCCCUGCUCUCUGGUCAACAGUAUAACUAACUGGGAAUGAUGAUUAACUGCUAAGGGGCAGGCCACGUUGGCUCUUGCUGGCUCUACAAUACCUUUUCUAGAAAAAAAAGUGUUACAAAGUUGCCAGUGUCCACUCCCAGCCUCUUGGAUGAUCAGCUGCCUACUUCACUCAAUUCCUCCUGUCAACCGUACUUAACUCCCUCAGCCUAUUCGCUUAUCUAUAAAAUCAGCAUAAAAUGAUUCUGCCUGCCUAGAGUUAUUGGGGGGUUGAAUGAGAUAACGCACAGAAAAUGCGAAGGACCGGGCUGGGCACCAGGAAACAUCCACCACAUAUGAGCCACCUGUGUGACAAUCUGCUCCCUUGAUCAGUUGGAACCAGCGCCUCCCAAGCCCUGAGCGUGCUCUCUGAGGACUCGCCACUGUGGAAAGUGGCUCUUUUUCACUUUCUCUGGGAAACAUUAAGCACUAGCAAACCAGCAAUCAAGUGCAUUUAAAGUGUGAGCCC